rnacentral:rRNA from 1 species
GAAUUGACGGGGCCGCACAAGCGGUGGAGCAUGUUGGUUAAUUCGAAGCAACGCGAAGAACCUUACCAGGUCUUGACAUCCGAUGCUAUUUCUAGAGAUAGAAAGUUACUUCGGUACAUCGGUGACAGGUGGUGCAUGGUUGUCGUCAGCUCGUGUCGUGAGAUGUUGGGUUAAGUCCCGCAACGAGCGCAACCCCUAUUGUUAGUUGCCAUCAUUCAGUUGGGCACUCUAGCGAGACUGCCGGUAAUAAACCGGAGGAAGGUGGGGAUGACGUCAAAUCAUCAUGCCCCUUAUGACCUGGGCUACACACGUGCUACAAUGGUUGGUACAACGAGUUGCGAGUCGGUGACGGCGAGCUAAUCUCUUAAAGCCAAUCUCAGUUCGGAUUGUAGGCUGCAACUCGCCUACAUGAAGUCGGAAUCGCUAGUAAUCGCGGAUCAGCACGCCGCGGUGAAUACGUUCCCGGGCCUU